rnacentral:rRNA from 1 species
CCUAUACGCAGUCGAGCGCGGGAAGCGAACGGAACUCUUCGGAGGGAAGUUCGUGGAACGAGCGGCGGACGGGUGAGUAACACGUAGGCAACCUGCCUGUAAGACUGGGAUAACUCGCGGAAACGCGAGCUAAUACCGGAUAACACUUUCUAUCACCUGAUGGAAAGUUGAAAGGCGGCUUUUGCUGUCACUUACAGAUGGGCCUGCGGCGCAUUAGCUAGUUGGUGAGGUAACGGCUCACCAAGGCGACGAUGCGUAGCCGACCUGAGAGGGUGAUCGGCCACACUGGGACUGAGACACGGCCCAGACUCCUACGGGAGGCAGCAGUAGGGAAUCUUCCGCAAUGGACGAAAGUCUGACGGAGCAACGCCGCGUGAGUGAUGAAGGUUUUCGGAUCGUAAAACUCUGUUGUCAGGGAAGAACAAGUACGAUAGUAACUGAUCGUACCUUGACGGUACCUGACCAGAAAGCCACGGCUAACUACGUGCCAGCAGCCGCGGUAAUACGUAGGUGGCAAGCGUUGUCCGGAAUUAUUGGGCGUAAAGCGCUCGCAGGCGGUUCUUUAAGUCUGAUGUGAAAUCUUGCGGCUCAACCGCAAACGUGCAUUGGAAACUGGAGGACUUGAGUGCAGAAGAGGAGAGUGGAAUUCCACGUGUAGCGGUGAAAUGCGUAGAGAUGUGGAGGAACACCAGUGGCGAAGGCGACUCUCUGGUCUGUAACUGACGCUGAGGAGCGAAAGCGUGGGGAGCGAACAGGAUUAGAUACCCUGGUAGUCCACGCCGUAAACGAUGAGUGCUAGGUGUUAGGGGGUUUCCGCCCCUUAGUGCUGAAGUUAACGCAUUAAGCACUCCGCCUGGGGAGUACGGCCGCAAGGCUGAAACUCAAAAGAAUUGACGGGGACCCGCACAAGCGGUGGAGCAUGUGGUUUAAUUCGAAGCA